ACUCUGCCGACGACUUUGGCAAAGUGCGCUUGUUCCCCAACCCCUGCUCACAGCCAAGGGCUCCAAGUCAUGUUUACAAAGGCCACAGCAGCCAUGUGACCAACGUUGCCUUUCUCCAUGACGACAGUCACCUGAUCUCUACCGGAGGGACGGACAUGAGCAUCCUGCAGUGGUCGGUCGUCUAGGGAACUCUGCUGCACCUUCACUGGAGCCUCCUGUCCACUAGAGGGCAGGACUGCUGUGCCUACAACUGUCUUUACCCUGCUGUCCUACUCCUUGCUGUCUGAGUGUACUGUACUGUACUGUGCUGAGUAGCCACUAGAUGGGGCUCUGGCAAAA